rnacentral:rRNA from 1 species
GAUGAACGCUUUCUUCGUUCCUAAUACAUGCAAGUCGAGCGAACAGACGAGGAGCUUGCUCCUCUGACGUUAGCGGCGGACGGGUGAGUAACACGUGGAUAACCUACCUAUAAGACUGGGAUAACUUCGGGAAACCGGAGCUAAUACCGGAUAAUAUAUUGAACCGCAUGGUUCAAUAGUGAAAGACGGUUUUGCUGUCACUUAUAGAUGGAUCCGCGCCGCAUUAGCUAGUUGGUAAGGUAACGGCUUACCAAGGCAACGAUGCGUAGCCGACCUGAGAGGGUGAGCGGCCACACUGGAACUGAGACACGGUCCAGACUCCUACGGGAGGCAGCAGUAGGGAAUCUUCCGCAAUGGGCGAAAGCCUGACGGAGCAACGCCGCGUGAGUGAUGAAGGUCUUCGGAUCGUAAAACUCUGUUAUUAGGGAAGAACAAAUGUGUAAGUAACUAUGCACGUCUUGACGGUACCUAAUCAGAAAGCCACGGCUAACUACGUG